rnacentral:rRNA from 1 species
AUUGAACGCUGGCGGCAGGCCUAACACAUGCAAGUCGAGCGGAUGAAGGGAGCUUGCUCCUGGAUUCAGCGGCGGACGGGUGAGUAAUGCCUAGGAAUCUGCCUGGUAGUGGGGGAUAACGUCCGGAAACGGGCGCUAAUACCGCAUACGUCCUGAGGGAGAAAGUGGGGGAGCUUCGGACCUCACGCUAUCAGAUGAGCCUAGGUCGGAUUAGCUAGUUGGUGGGGUAAAGGCCUACCAAGGCGACGAUCCGUAACUGGUCUGAGAGGAUGAUCAGUCACACUGGAACUGAGACACGGUCAAGACUCCUACGGGAGGCAGCAGUGGGGAAUAUUGGACAAUGGGCGAAAGCCUGAUCCAGCCAUGCCGCGUGUGUGAAGAAGGUCUUCGGAUUGUAAAGCACUUUAAGUUGGGAGGAAGGGCAGUAAGUUAAUACCUUGCUGUUUUGACGUUACCAACAGAAUAAGCACCGGCUAACUUCGUG